ACCUGAUGGAAUACUGAAACAAUUGCUGCCUGCUGUCCACACACCACAUAAAAUAUGUGGAUUUCCUAAAUUCUGCAAAAAAGAAUUGGAAGCUGAUCAAGCAAUACUGAAACUCCCUCUUCUCCAGAAGACAGAGACAUCCUUGCCUCCAUGAAGAGGAAUGUGUGGAUGGACAUAUAUUUAAGGAAGGCACUAAACCAGAAACUACUACAUUACACCCUCUUAGAAGACUUCUAAGAUUGUUGUCAUACCUACCACAGACAUUCAGAUGAUGUGUAUUCUUGAUUGUGAUUUCAUGUUUGGAGCUGAUGAAGGAACCCAGGAGAUGAACAUAUGCCUGAGAAGAAGAACUGGUGUGGAAUUGUCAGCCAGGUUUUUGAUGAGUGCUCAGACUGCUUCCUGAUCCGGCACCACAUUUACUACAGUGGACAGAUGCUCUAGUCUCCGAUGAGGAGUUGCUAGCUGUUAGGAAGAACCUGGAAUGGGCUCCACUCAUGAGGUUUGAAGUCUCCAGAGCAGCAAGGAGAGUGGGGAGUAGAACUCAUCAUCUUUAGGUCACUCAUCAUCGAUGGAUUGUUUCCAACCUUAGUCUACAAACAUGGAUGGUUGAACACAAACCUGUCAGGCUGAUAAAGAACUAGACAUCUACUAACGUCCUUGGAACCAUGUUCAGAUUGCUGCACAUCCUCCUUAAGAUGCCACGGAUGACAUGGUUCCUUGUGAUUGUUGUUCUCUUCUUGUUGUUGCUGUUAUCUUUUAACUUUUGAAGAGGAUACUUUAUUAGUCUGUUGCUAUGUUAGUCAUCUCUUGACAUUAGAAACCAACAUCCCACUGUUUAAAUGUUUUAUAUUUCCUACACUUUUUGGAAAACACAAUGUAUGCGCAUCAUUUUUUCCUAUGGUUUCAAAGACAUACCGCUAUGUAAUUCAACUUUACAAUUGUAAUCAUUUUGACCAAUAUUCACAUGAAUAUAAAUUUUAUGUGUAAAAUU
rnacentral:lncRNA from 1 species